rnacentral:rRNA from 1 species
CUACGUGCCAGCAGCCGCGGUAAUACGUAGGUCCCGAGCGUUGUCCGGAUUUAUUGGGCGUAAAGCGAGCGCAGGCGGUUAGAUAAGUCUGAAGUUAAAGGCUGUGGCUUAACCAUAGUACGCUUUGGAAACUGUUUAACUUGAGUGCAAGAGGGGAGAGUGGAAUUCCAUGUGUAGCGGUGAAAUGCGUAGAUAUAUGGAGGAACACCGGUGGCGAAAGCGGCUCUCUGGCUUGUAACUGACGCUGAGGCUCGAAAGCGUGGGGAGCAAACAGGAUUAGAUACCCUGGUAGUCCACGCCGUAAACGAUGAGUGCUAGGUGUUAGACCCUUUCCGGGGUUUAGUGCCGCAGCUAACGCAUUAAGCACUCCGCCUGGGGAGUACGACCGCAAGGUUGAAACUCAAAGGAAUUGCCGGGGGCCCGCACAAGCGGUGGAGCGUGUGGUUUAAUUCGAAGCAACGCGAAGAACCUUACCAGGUCUUGACAUCCCUCUGACCUCUCUAGAGAUAGAGAUUUC